rnacentral:rRNA from 1 species
AUUGAACUCUGGCGGCAAGCCUAACACAUGCACGUCGAACGAGUGGCGGACGGGUGAGUAAUGUCUGGUAAACUGCCUGAUGGAGGGGGAUACCUACUGGAAACGGUAGCUAAUACCGCAUACCAUCGGAUGUGCCCAGAUGGGAUUAGCUAGUCGGUGGGGUACAGGCUCACCUAGGCGACGAUCCCUCGCUGGUCUGAGAGGAUGACCAGCAACACUGGAACGGAGACACGGUCCAGACUCCUACGGGAGGCAGCAGUGGGGAAUAUUGCACAAUGGGCGCAAGCCUGAUGCAGCCAUGCCGCGUGGAUGAAGAAGGCCUUCGGGUUGUAAAGUACUUUCAGCGGGGAGGCGUUACCCGCAGAAGAAGCACCGGCUAACUACGUGCCAGCAGCCGCGGUAAUAC